ACGGAAUCAGCUCGAAAUGCUGCCCUGAAAAAUCAAUGUCCUUAUCCAAAAAUCGCUCGGGCUCAAAGCGCUCGGGAUCCUUCCAUAUGGUGGGAUCUCUGGUGAUCGCCCAGACGUUGACGAACAUUUUUGUGUUUUUGGGGAUUAGGUAUCCGUUGACCUGCGUCUCCUCCUCGGCGGCGUGAGGAGCUAGCAGAGGCGCGACGGGGUGGUAGCGCAGCACUUCUUUGAUGGUGGCUUGCAGGUAUGGGAGCCUCGAGAUGUCGGAUUCUUCCACCAUUGUUUGAUCUCCGAUAACGCUCUUCAGCUCUGCUUUCAGCUUUGCGAGUUUGUCGGGGUGGAGAAGGAGUUCCACCAUUGCCCAUUCCGUUGUGGCUGCGCUUGUGUCUGAUCCGGCAAUGAUUAGGUCCUAAACAAGGUGAAGUAAGUGAGUGAGAACUGAUUCAUUUUUAACGUGUUAAUACAAUUUUUUUACAAUAGUCGGAGUGAUAAUUGGAGCUUACAUGAAUUAGUAAAGACGAUGUCGUUUUUAUGAGGUUUAAACGACGUCAUUUCCUUCAGUUUUAAUUAUAAAAAAUCCCUUUGUACUACACCUGACUUUCAAUGUUAUGUGGCGAACUAAUCCACGUAAACUCCAACUCAUCAAUCCGACGAUCGGAAGAAAUUGAGGGGACGAAAUCGAAAAAAUUAUGAAGAUUGUAAUUUAAUUCGUCAUCACACUUCAAAAACCACGUUAAAAUUGUAAUUUCGAAAUAGUUUGUGGUUUUAUUUGCCAAAACCUCUAAUAAUUAUAAAUACUCACGAUUAAAUCGGAAUAAGUUGUGAAUUGCGUUGGUAAAACAAUAAGAAUGCAGUUUAUUUUUUGGAUUAAUAGUGUUUUAUGUCUUGAACUUUAAUUUUCUCCUAUUAAAUCACAAACUUUUAGUUUUUUUUAUAAAAUGUCCCGCUAUACAAAAUCUUAUAACAGAAAGAUGACAAACAAUUUUGAAAUUUUAGCGUUUUUUCAACAAUGGUGGUUCUUAAUAUUGUUUUCCAACAAUGACAAAUAUUUCAUUCAACGAGAUAAGUCAUUUUUCCGUCAUCAAAUUUUGCAUAGCGGGACAUUUUAUGAGAAAACUGAAAGUACGAGGUUUUAUAAAAUAAAAUAAAAGUUCGAGACAUUUUAUGGAAAACACUGAAAAUUUGAGACAUAAAACACUAUUAAAUAAUAAAAUCGGCUAUUUUAUUAAUUCGGUCAACAUUUAAAUAUAGAAAGAAAGAAAGAAAAAAAAAAGAGAGAAUAAUAUAGGAACGAGUGCUCACCACACACAAGUGCUUAAUCUCUUCAAUGCUCAAAUCAUAUUCAUGUCCUUGGAUGAGGUCUAGCAGCGUUUCCAGAAAAUCAUUCUUUUUCUGGUAAUUUGAGUCCUUUCUUGCUCGCAGCCGUUGCUCGAUCAUGCCGUUCACGAUCUCCAGCAAACCCCCGAGGUGAUGAAUCAUCUUCUUCUUGAUUCCUUGUGGAUCAAAAGGAGCAAAAAUGGGGAAGAAAUCCGAGAUAUUCGGAAGCCCUAUAUACCUCGUGUAAGAGUUCACAUGCUCCCUCAACACCUUGCUCGCCGCCGCGCCGCCGCCGUAAUCCGCCGAGAAAAGCGUCGCGAACAUGAUGUUGGACAUGGUGGUGAAGGUGGCUUCUCCGACGUUCAUGGCGCCGCGGCACUCGCCGACGCGGUCGAUCAGCCUCCGCAGCCGCUCGUGCCGGAGGGCCUGGCUGGCCUGAAGGGCUUGGAAAGAGAAGAGCUUCUCCCUCGCCACCCGCCGGAGCUUCUUCCACGCGGCGGAGCUGGAGGGCAGCAUGCCGACGGAGUUCUCGUCCUGGCCGAGGACGCGCUUCGCGACCGGGUUGAACGGGUUGGCGAAGACGAGGCCCUGCUUCUGCAGCACCUCCGUCGCCAUCUCCGGGGAGGAGACGACGACGGCGAAUUGGUUCCCGAGAUGGAGGGACAUCAGGGGGCCGUAGGUUUUGGCGAGGUGGGCGAACGACUUGUGGGGGUUUGGACCGAGCUGGAGGAUGUUGCCGAUGAUCGGAAGACGAGGCGGCCCCGGAGGGAGUCUCCGCCGCCUCGGCUCCGACCACCAUGAGUAGGCGGCCCAUGCUGCCGCAAAAGCCAGGGAGAGAAGAAUGAGAAUUUGCAUUUUUGGUUUGGUUAUUUUGUUUUGUUUCUACAUUUUCUUGCAUGACUCUCUCGCUAUUUAAAUCAUGAGUAUAGGGAGGGCGGAUCUAGGGACUAGGGGGCUGCAAAAUUGAGUCUUUUUCUUUUAAUAUAUAUAUAUAUAUAUUUAGUAUAAGAAAGAAUAUAAUCCGUCUGUCUUGAUUAUCUUGAGACAAAAAUUUUGGGCACAAAAUUUAAGAAAUUAAUAGUAUUUAAUAAAAUUUAAUAUCACAAAAUCUCUUGUAUAUUCGGGUGUACGGUACAUUCGGGUCGUACCCGACCCGAAUUCUGACCCGGAUCUAACCCAAUUGGAUUAUCCUACCCGAAUGUCAAGUGUUAGUAUCAUUUCGAUAUAGUGUUAGUGUAAUUUUCGAAAUAGUGUCAUUUGUAAGACAAAAUAGUAUUAGUGUUAUUUUUGAAAUAAAAUAGUGUUAGUGUCAUUCUAAGAUCGCGUUAGUAUUAAUGUCAUUUUAAGAAAAAAAUGGUCAGGAUAGUCCAAUUGGAUCAGGAUCCGGGUCAGGUACAAUUCGGGUGUACGGUACACUCAGGUGUACAGGAAACCAUCUCAUUUAAUAUAUACAUUUAGAUUAUUUUUAGUGUAAGAAUUAAAGAGUUUGAUGUUAAUGAAAUCGAGAUGACGGAUGAAAAAAUAUAGGAAUUUUUUAUACAAAUUUUGAAAAGCCCGAAAGAUGCAAGUGGCUACGAACUAAUGUUGGGCUAUAAUUCUAAUCAAAUUUAUUUCUUUGACCCAUCUAUUAAAAGUGACGUUUAGUUUGUUGUUAGAAAUACUACAAUUCUUGGGCUAUAAUUCUAAUCAAAUUUAUUUCUUUGGCGCAUCCAUUUCUUGGGCUAUAAUUCUAAUCAAAUUUAUUUCUUUGUUAGAAUUAAUACUAUUGACUUUUUUCUUUGGUAAUUAACAAGUUUUGGACGCCACUACGGAUCGUGGCGGCUGUAGUGGCGGCUGUAGAGCAGAAGAAUUGAUAGUUAGUUUUAUUUUUUAUGUACAAGUCGAAGAAUAAUUUAGAUUCAUUUUAAUAAAUAGUCGUAUAUGAUUACUUAUUGUUACUAUGUUUAAAUUUAUUACUAUGAAUAAUUAAUUUAUUUGAUUCGGUAAAAUAAUGAAACAUUAGUCCAAAAUCUAUAAUAUUUAAUUGUUUGUUAAUUAAUUUAAUUGGAUUUUGAUUUUUUUCUAAGUAGAGAGUUUUAAUCUAAUUUUCUUGAGCCUGAUCACCUUAGGUCAAUUAAUUUUUCCAAUCUGUAAUUAUUAGAAUCGAGCUAAUUAGUGACAAAGCUAUUGUAUCGAUAGUAGGCAACAACCAAAAUAUGUGAAAUAUUAUCGAGUCCGGCAACUCACUGAGUCGAUCCAUGAAAACCUUUGAAACAUAAUGAAGCAUCAAUGAAUGAAUUGCGCAUCAACAACUCAGAAUUUACCUUACACUUAAUUAUUGGAAGCAAAAUAACACAUACUCCCUCCGUCCCCAAAAUAAGUUCCUCUUUGGGGACGGCACGGGUUUUAAGGAAAAUGGUAAAGUGUAUUGAUAGUGGGAAAAAAUGUGUUAUAAUUAGUAUUGGGAGUGAUGAAAAUGUGAAAAAGUAUUAUAAUUAGUAUUGGGAGUGGUGAAAAAGUGAAAAGUAAGAAUAAAUAAAGUAUUAUUAGUGAUGGGGUAGUUGUCCAAAAAUAGAAAGAAAAAAAGAGGAACUUAUUUGGUGGACGUCCUAAAAUGAAAAAGGAUGAACUUAUUUCAGGGACGGAGAGAGUAUAUACUAUCAAAUUCUUGAAGAUUGAUUACCUGAAGAUGAACUUAGUUAUUAAACUUUAACAGAUCGAAUUGGCCUGCAGCAAAACUGAUUGGAUUCUUAACAUAUAUGCUGUGGAAGAUCCAAAGUUACAACGCAUGUUUUUAACUUCUCAAUGAACAUUUAACCUCAGAAAUUAAAGUUGAUUUUUUGAAAGGAUAAAAAGCAUGUUUUUAACUUCUCGAGUAACAUUUAUGAUGAAAUUUCAAGAGUUUUCAACGAAAAACGUAAACGGUCGAGGAUCAAAACCGUUCAUUUCAUAUUCUGCAUAUUGUUAUUUUAUUUUACUUAAUAUAUAGAGUAUUCAUUUGGAAUAAAAUUAAGGUUUUUAUCCUCUGACCGUUGAUGUUCUUCGUUGAAAAUCUCUUGAGAUUUAUUGUAAUUAAUAAAUGUUUCUUGAGAAGUUAAAACAUGCAUGCUUUUUAUCCUUUCAAAAAAUCAACUUAAUUCCUGAGUAUUGAAGUGUCCCACAUUGGAUUGGAGAUAGUGGCAUGAGCCACUUUAUAUGGUGAGGCAACCCUCUCCCUUAUAAGGCCUUUUAAAGGAGGAAUGGGCCCAAUAUCCAUUUCUAACACUGAGGUCGUUGUAACGUUGUAUCUUCCAAAGCAUAUAUAGUUAGAAUCUGAACCAGUUUACAAAGAAUCUAAUCAGUUUAAGCUUGCAGUACCCAAUUCGAUUUGUUAAAAAAUGGAGAUCGAUCGAGUCCCGCUUUUCUCAGCUUUCAUAUCUCCGAAGAUCAUCAUGAGGUUAGUCAUGAUCAGUCAGAGCGCGAUCGACUGAGUGAGUUACCCGAUUCCUUAAUCCUUUCGAUUCUUUCAUUCUUGUCGAUGGUCGAUGUUGUCCGAACAACCAUUCUCUCCAAACGUUGGAAAGAUCUCUGGGCCACCAUGCAUCCCUUGCCUUCAUUAUCCAUGGUCUUUUUCGUUGUGGUUAUUCGUUGGUUGUCCCUUCUUUGACUAAUGCAAUUCUCUCUUUGCGAAAUAUUGAUUUGUAUUCGUUGCUAAUUAAAACGUUUAAUCAAGUUUUUCGAAGCAUAAGGCAUGCUGAGAAGUUCACUUUAUCAGAAUGGUGCAUUGAGGUUAGAUUUGUUUGCCACAUUUUGGUUUAAUCAUUUCUACUUGUAUCAUUUAUCACUUAUUUUGACUUUGACAUAAUCUCAUUUUUGUAUUGCGUUGAUGAGCUAAUGUCAUAUGUUUUAGACUCCUAUUUGUUUUAUACAUGUGCAAGGUUUAAUUUAGUGUUAUUAUCGUGAAUUAUAUUUGUAAUGUUUUAAAUUGAUUAUAUGAUUAGAUUACUACUAUAUAUACUGCUCUCCGACUUCUAUCAUACAGUUAAGGGGCGUUUAUUGUGAAGGAUUAGCAUUGAUAUAUAAAUAUUGUAAAGUUAAUGUCUUGUUUACUUUACUGUAUUGAAACUUUGGGAUAUUUUUAGGAUCUUGAUUAUUUCUAUUAUUUAAACUAGAAUGUGUUUGGAACAGUAAAAACGCGAUCACUGAACAUAAACGUUUUACAUUUGGAGCAAAUUCCUACUGCAAUUUGUGUUUUGGAGCAAAUCCCUUAGUUUCUGGAAACAUUUUAAUACUGAAAUUUUGUUUUUUUUUUUGUUAGUCGAAAUUUUAUUCUCAAGAUUUAAUGCUUCAUUAGUUCAUUUGAGCAAUAUCUCUGAGAGGCAUUUUCACAAACACCUUGCUGCAGUUCAUUUUAAUGACAACUCUGUGCUAAUAUCUCUGAGAGGCAUUUUCACAAACACCUUCUGCGCAUACAUUUCUUAUUUAUUGAUCUUUUACUACAACGCAUUGGUUUUCAUAGAAUAACACAAACGCGUUUCACAUUAUAGCUCUCUUAUUACUACUCGAAAUCAAUCACACAAACCACCAUCAAAUCUUGCUGGGAAUCGCCCAAAGAGGGGUUUUCUUCUGCAGCGACAACCCAUACACAUGCUCUCUUUGCAACCGUUUGCAUUCAUUCCCUCUCUCAAGCUCCCAAUCGAAGUUGUGACACAGCGCCGCCACCAUACAAUGCAGCAUGCGGCUAGCCAGCGGCAUCCCGGGGCAGAUUCUCCGCCCCGAACUGAACGGAAUCAGUUCAAAAUGCUGCCCUGAAAAAUUAAUGUUCUUAUCCAAAAAUCGCUCGGGCUCAAAGCGCUCGGGAUCCUUCCAUAUGGUCGGAUCUCUGGUGAUCGCCCAGACGUUGACGAACAUUUUUGUGUUUUUGGGGAUUAGGUAUCCGUUGAGCUGCGUCUCCUCCUCGGCGGCGUGAGGAGCGAGCAGAGGCGCGGCGGGGUGGUAGCGCAGCACUUCUUUGAUGGUGGCUUGCAGGUAUGGGAGCCUCGAGAUGUCGGAUUCUUCCACCAUUGUUUGAUCUCCGAUGACGCUCUUCAGCUCUGCUUUCAGCUUCGCGAGUUUGUCGGGGUGGAGGAGGAGCUCCACCAUUGCCCAUUCCGUUGUGGCUGCGCUUGUGUCUGAUCCUGCAAUGAGUAGGUCCUAAACAAGGUGAAGUAGAUUGAGUUAGAAACUCAUUCAUUUUUAACGAGUUAAUACAUAAAAAUAGCUACUAUUGAAUUAAAAUCAAUUUGUUAAUAAUUAGGAUUUUGAUAAAAUCACGAACUAUUUUGAAAUUGUAAUUUUUUAAUGUAAUUUUUUGAGUGGUGAAUGAGUUCAUCAUAUUUUCAAUUUUUGCAAAUUCCGUGCUGAAGUGGAGCUUACGUGAAUUAGUAAAAAUGAUGCCUUUCUGGUAAUUUGAUUCCUUUCUUGCUCGCAGCCGUUGCUCGAUCAUGCCGCUCACGAUCUCCAGCAAUCCCCCGAGGUGAUGAAUCACCUUCUUCUUGAUUCCUUGUGGAUCAAAACGAGCAAAAAUGGGGAAGAAAUCCGAGAUAUUCGGAAGCCCUAUAUACCUCGUGUAAGAGUUCACGUGCUCCCUCAACACCUUGCUCGCCGCCGCGCCGCCGC
rnacentral:lncRNA from 1 species